GACGAACCGUGCGAACGUUGUUCGGAAUCACUGGGCUUAAAGGGCGCGUAGGCGGGCUGGAAAGUCCGGGGUGAAAUUCAUCAGCUUAACUGGUGAACGGCCCCGGAUACUGCCGGCCUGGAGGGGGAUAGGGGCGUGCGGAACUAUGGGUGGAGCGGUGAAAUGCGUUGAUAUCCAUAGGAACUCCGGUGGCGAAGGCGGCACGCUGGAUCCCUUCUGACGCUGAGGCGCGAAAGCCAGGGGAGCGAACGGG
rnacentral:rRNA from 1 species